rnacentral:rRNA from 1 species
GAUGAACGCUGGCGGCGUGCCUAAUACAUGCAAGUCGAGCGAACGGACGAGAAGCUUGCUUCUCUGAUGUUAGCGGCGGACGGGUGAGUAACACGUGGAUAACCUACCUAUAAGACUGGGAUAACUUCGGGAAACCGUAGCUAAUACCGGAUAAUAUUUUGAACCGCAUGGUUCAAAAGUGAAAGACGGUCUUGCUGUCACUUAUAGAUGGAUCCGCGCUGCAUUAGCUAGUUGGUAAGGUAACGGCUUACCAAGGCAACGAUGCAUAGCCGACCUGAGAGGGUGAUCGGCCACACUGGAACUGAGACACGGUCCAGACUCCUACGGGAGGCAGCAGUAGGGAAUCUUCCGCAAUGGGCGAAAGCCUGACGGAGCAACGCCGCGUGAGUGAUGAAGGUCUUCGGAUCGUAAAACUCUGUUAUUAGGGAAGAACAUAUGUGUAAGUAACUGUGCACAUCUUGACGGUACCUAAUCAGAAAGCCACGGCUAACUACGUGCCAGCAGCCGCGGUAAUACGUAGGUGGCAAGCGUUAUCCGGAAUUAUUGGGCGUAAAGCGCGCGUAGGCGGUUUUUUAAGUCUGAUGUGAAAGCCCACGGCUCAACCGUGGAGGGUCAUUGGAAACUGGAAAACUUGAGUGCAGAAGAGGAAAGUGGAAUUCCAUGUGUAGCGGUGAAAUGCGCAGAGAUAUGGAGGAACACCAGUGGCGAAGGCGACUUUCUGGUCUGUAACUGACGCUGAUGUGCGAAAGCGUGGGGAUCAAACAGGAUUAGAUACCCUGGUAGUCCACGCCGUAAACGAUGAGUGCUAAGUGUUAGGGGGUUUCCGCCCCUUAGUGCUGCAGCUAACGCAUUAAGCACUCCGCCUGGGGAGUACGACCGCAAGGUUGAAACUCAAAGGAACUGACGGGGACCCGCACAAGCGGUGGAGCAUGUGGUUUAAUUCGAAGCAACGCGAAGAACCUUACCAAAUCUUGACAUCCUUUGACAACUCUAGAGAUAGAGCCUUCCCCUUCGGGGGACAAAGUGACAGGUGGUGCAUGGUUGUCGUCAGCUCGUGUCGUGAGAUGUUGGGUUAAGUCCCGCAACGAGCGCAACCCUUAAGCUUAGUUGCCAUCAUUAAGUUGGGCACUCUAAGUUGACUGCCGGUGACAAACCGGAGGAAGGUGGGGAUGACGUCAAAUCAUCAUGCCCCUUAUGAUUUGGGCUACACACGUGCUACAAUGGACAAUACAAAGGGCAGCGAAACCGCGAGGUCAAGCAAAUCCCAUAAAGUUGUUCUCAGUUCGGAUUGUAGUCUGCAACUCGACUACAUGAAGCUGGAAUCGCUAGUAAUCGUAGAUCAGCAUGCUACGGUGAAUACGUUCCCGGGUCU